CCCGCCGAGGGGCGCUGCGACCGUUCGACUGCGGAUCCAUCCGUAGUAGGCGGCCAGGCUCGGCGCGGCACGUUCCACAACGGCGCCCGGUUGAU
rnacentral:ncRNA from 2 species